rnacentral:rRNA from 1 species
ACCAGACUCCUACGGGAGGCAGCAGUGGGGGAUAUUGCACAAUGGGGGGAACCCUGAUGCAGCGACGCCGCGUGGGUGAAGAAGCGCCUCGGCGCGUAAAGCCCUGUCAGCAGGGAAGAAAAUGACGGUACCUGAAGAAGAAGCCCCGGCUAGCUACGUGCCAGCAGCCGCGGUAAUACGUAGGGGGCAAGCGUUAUCCGGAUUUACUGGGUGUAAAGGGGGCGCAGACGGCGAUGCAAGCCAGGAGUGAAAGCCCAGGGCCCAACCCCGGGACUGCUCUUGGAACUGCGUGGCUGGAGUGCAGGAGGGGCAGGCGGAAUUCCUGGUGUAGCGGUGAAAUGCGUAGAUAUCAGGAGGAACACCGGUGGCGAAGGCGGCCUGCUGGACUGCAACUGACGUUGAGGCCCGAAAGCGUGGGGAGCAAACAGGAUUAGAUACCCGUGUA